rnacentral:rRNA from 1 species
GACGAACGCUGGCGGCGUGCUUAACACAUGCAAGUCGAACGGAAAGGCCCUGCUUUUGUGGGGUGCUCGAGUGGCGAACGGGUGAGUAACACGUGAGUAACCUGCCCUUGACUUUGGGAUAACUUCAGGAAACUGGGGCUAAUACCGGAUAGGAGCUCCUGCUGCAUGGUGUGGGUUGGAAAGUUUCGGCGGUUGGGGAUGGACUCGCGGCUUAUCAGCUUGUUGGUGGGGUAGUGGCUUACCAAGGCUUUGACGGGUAGCCGGCCUGAGAGGGUGACCGGCCACAUUGGGACUGAGAGACGGCCCAGAAUCCUACGGGAGGCAGCAGUGGGGAAUAUUGCACAAUGGGCGGAAGCCUGAUGCAGCAACGCCGCGUGCGGGAUGACGGCCUUCGGGUUGUAAACCGCUUUCGCCUGUGACGAAGCGUGAGUGACGGUAAUGGGUAAAGAAGCACCGGCUAACUACGUG